rnacentral:lncRNA from 1 species
AAAACGAAAACCAACGCUUUGCUGUUUUAUUCGAUACUGGUCCGCCUUUUCACUUUGGUCGAAGUUAUACUGAAGAAAUUAUCAUGUUUUUCUUUUGCUCAGAACGUUUUACUUACCCCAAUAUAUUAAUAAAGCAAGGUUUAUCUCUCAGGAAGUAAAGUUAUUUUUAUUGAUCGCUGUAAUAUUUUAAGGUAGCUUCAAUUGAUUUUUUGAUCAUGCUUUUCUUCUCCUUUUUUGUUAUUAGUAUUAGACUUCAUAUUGAGAAAUCUUAGAAUUACUACUUAAAGAAAAUAAGAACAAACGGAAAGAAAAUAUCAGAGCAGAAACCACCUUUGGAAUGGAGUUGCUUCUCUAUCUAAGAAAUAUCAAUGUAGCAAUGAGCGUGUGUAAUUAAAACUUAGUCAGUCAUAUUACUUAGUUAACUUAAACUUUUAUUUUUUAAUAUGAUUGACUGAACUUAAGGUAUACACGCCCGUUGCUGCAUUGUUAUUUCUUAGAUCAAGUACUCAUUCCGUUUUAGGUUCCCUGAUUAAAAAAAGAAAAGAAACAGGGAUUACAGAGUACUAAUAUGGUACAUCAACUAAAAAGUACGCUUCAGUAAAAAUCAAUUUAUUGAGAGAAUCCAAUUUUUUUAAUUUACAUAAUAAAUUUUAACGACCAAAUAGGCUUAUAAACAUAGUUAUAUCAAUUAUCAAAUUAAUUUUCAUAUCUGUGUGAUGGGAUGAAAUACACAAGAAUAUUAGUUAUAAUUUAGUACCUUCAAUUAAUUAUUGUGACUACAAUUUCCUCCGUAAUGUCAUUUAUCAUAUUCAUAACCUCAGAUAACGCUAGGGAACAAUUAGAGGAAAAAUUUGGUAGAAAAAAAAUUGAAGCAAAUAAUUGUAUUUAUCCUUGAGCUCAGAAUCCAAAAUUGAUCUCAGUUUUUCUCUUAGUGGUUGGAAUUCUGAAAUAUCAUUUGGGACUACUAUCGUCCAGAAUCAUUUUUUACAUUUGAUAGUCAUCAAAUUAAAAGUGCGUUCUCCAAUAGCUCCUUCUAUUUUUAGAAGACCUUCUGGCAAAACCUCUCCUUCUUCAAUAAUGUCAAGUAUUUUCUUAAGAUUUUUUCUCCUUCAAGAAAAAACCCGUAUCGAAUUUAGAUAAAAGAGAUCUUACAGAUGAAAUUGGAACGGUUUCAUCGACCUAAUUUUCGAAUCAGUGUGAUUUACUUACAAGUUCAAACCACAUCGUAAUAAUGUAAUUACCACCGUUACGUCAUAUAAAAACAUAGACGAAAACAAAUACAAGCGAUUAAAAAUUUAAUUUGAUUCUUCGCUGGGACUUAAAGGAAUCUUUUCAUAUCUCAUUAUUACAUCCUUCCAGGGAGAUUUCACUUAUUUUUUUGGAAAGACGUAAGUUGACUUUAACAGUCAUUUUCUGUAUUUCUACGUGAUUUGAUUAUUCGACAAAAAAAAUAAAAAAAAAUAGGAAAAGUGUCUAAAUGGAAAAAAUGGCAAGAUUCUUUUAAACUGAUAUAAUAUCUAUCACAAUUAUAAUAUAUAAUGAGAGAAAAGAAAAAUAAACAAACACGACAGUGGUUCCAAUUAAUUACAAUAUAAUUAGACAUGAUGACUAUUCAUAUUGGACAAGACUCUUGGAUUGAUGGACAAGCAUUUGCAAAAUACUUGGCAAGAUUAGCAAUUUCCACUUUGUUAUGAUCCAAGAUGUGUCAGAAGAAGAGGCGGUUGGCUAUGGAGCGACAAACCAUUGAGAAGAUUCGGGCAGGUAGUCAAAGGUCGAGUCGUUGGAGAUAGCGAAACAAAUAGCUACGAAAUCCAAGAUAAGGUGGAGAUCUGUCCGUCUGACCUGAUAAUCACAGUUCCCAUAGAAAUUGAAAUUCAAGCAUCUCCUGUUGAGGACUAAGUAUCUCAGAUCCCUUCUUUUGUACUAAUUCUGAGAGAACAUGGAAGUAUUUCUGUCUUAAAUGAAUGAAGAUCGAUCCAAGCACAUGAAAAAUACAUCCAAAUUAAAAAUAUGUUCCUUCAUUUAUCCAAUUCUUUGUGUGUAUUAUGUUUGAUAUGUUUCAACAUUAAAAUAAUUACUAAUAUAUCAUAUUCAGGCCAUGAUAAUCAUAAGUAAACAUAUUUAUUUUAUCACAAAUUGAUAGAUGUAACUUUCUUCGAUAAAUAUCACUGAAGACCAUUAUUAUUUAUAUUCAAAUGUCAUUGUAUCAUACUAGAGAAAUACACUUAAAAGUUCGUUGAAAGAGCCUAUAAGUCCCUUUUAUGGUUCUCAUACUUGGCUUGAUAUAUUGGAAGUAUGAAUUCAAGUCCUAGAUAAACAACUUUGAAAAUUCGAGUCCUUUAGAUAACUACGUAAUGCAACCUGUUUCGUUCUCUUUGGACAAGAAAGAAGGUUUAUGAAGAGACGAAGACCAUCGUUCUAUUUCAAUUUCAGAUUGUUCCAACUGUACUGAGCUUUACAAUUUUCCUCACACUCUCCAACGACUCGACCUUUGACUACCGGCCCGAAUCCUCUAAGUGGUUUUUCGCUCCACAGCCAACUACCUCUUCUUCUGACAGAUCCUGGAUCCUAACGAAAUGGAAAUCCCUGCUUUUGCCUAGUAUUUUGUAAAUGCUUGUCUGUCAAUCCAGGAGUCUUGUCCAAUAUGAAUAAUCCAUCAUGUCUAAUGAUAUUGUAAUAAAUAACUGAGAAUUAAGUGAUUAGUACUCUUUACAUUGGAACCACUGUCCUGUUUUAGUGAUAUGUAUUAUUAAAGGUCCAUGUAAUAUAAUCUUUCCCACUAUUAGCAGCAUCCACAAAUUUUUGAUGUCAUAUUUUAGUACUUAGAAUGAAGAAAUUUUAUCUUAAUUUGAAAAAAGUAAAUCUUUCAAAUAUCCUAAAUAUUUCCUUCCAAUUUAUCCAAAUAGAAUUGUAAAAGUAAUGUAUCUUAUCCAACUACAUCGGCAGAGGAUUUAUGUCUUGGAAUUUGAAGAUUUUGAUAUGAUCAGGAGAUUAUAUGGGUGUAGGUUUUGGGGGCCGAUUUUAAUUUUUUUGUUAAACAAAUGCAGUUACUAGAAAAGUUAGACAAAAAUUGAAUUUGCUCAUUUUCAUUAAGUAAUAAUAAUAUAUUUUAUUUAUUUAUUUUACUCACCGAUAAAUUGUUGUGUACAUUACCACCGUGGUAUGCAACGAAACAUUUAUUUAAUUAAACACUGCUCUAUAUUGUAUCAUGAUGUAAAAUCAUAAGUAAAAACAUGAUAUUUUUGAAAAAGGAGAGGUUUCUUCAAAAGGUUCUCAAAAAAAAAAAAAAAAAAAAAAAAAAAAAGCUAGUGCAGAAAAAAUGUACGGAAAGGUAA